ACGAAAUAUGACUUUGUGGUCUCGGUAAUCACGGAAAAAGAUGAUUCUCCAUCUUUGCAAAAGCUUCUUCUACAGGACAGAAUGAUUCGAAUAAGCGGAGGUAUCAAGGAUAAAGAUCUAAUAAUCACCGUUUCUGGAAUACUAACAAUGGAAAGCCUCAAUGUCAGAUCUGUGAAAGGUUUGGGGAUAUUGCUGCAUAGUGUUGUUUUUGGUUUGAAAGAGAAGUUCAUGGUCCCAAUUUGAACUCUCAGCAUCAGAAAUCUUUCUAAUUUUCCGUGACUGGUCAUGGUUAGUCUUCAUCUGAAUUUAAUGCUCUUACUCUGCAACAUGAUUUGAAUAAAGAAAAUCUCUGGUUUCCUGAUUGUGGUGCUCUGAGUAUCGUGGAGAUAAUAAAUUUCUUGUCGGCAACAGUACAGGAUCUCAAUAGCCAAAGACUUCUCCAAGGCAUUCUUAAAGAUGGAUUGUAUAGCUUUAAUUUGGAAAAAGUAUCUUCUUCAGACUCCAAGUUGGAUAGCUCUUCUUUCACAGUAUGGGAGUAUAAGACUGUUUUGAUGUUGACUACACAUCGCACUCAGGCUGAAUGUCGAUGACAUUCCUCAUCUUCUCUAAUGGUCAUGCACCUAUUGUCACUGGUUUCGUGUGCUGACCAUUUAUACCUUCGUGUCUAGUCAUAGUCUAGCCAUGGACCAUCUCAUGAAUCCACUGCAAGCCCGCGUCUUAUCCCUUCCAACACCCGUCGUUAAGACAGGAGCGAAUCUUACACUAGUCGCUAAUCAAAAAAACGUUCCAACAGAUGGUGUACCGACCAAAAAUCAGAAGGACUAAGGGAAGAAGAAGGUUGCAACCGAGGGCAUAAAAGAGCAUACAUUGGUCCAUUCCUCAACAAUGACUGAGGACCGAGAGGAUGGUGUACCGACUGAAGACGAAGAUCUAGAUGAUGAGUCGGACUAUGGGGAUGAACCAGAAGUUAAUGUCAAGGAAAGAGAUACUUCAAACAUUUUUAAGAGUUGAUGGCUUAAGCACGUAACUGGUUGUACCCUGGUAGCAUAAAAUUUUGCUUGUUAAACUUCUGGGUGGAGUUGAUGCAUAUCAAGGUGCUCAAUAAUUGGAAUAACAAAUCGCUUGAUAUGUUACUAGAAUUGUUGAAAUAUGCAAUUCCACCCGGUGCAUUUAUACAUGGUUGAUUCUAUGAAUCUAAGAGAAAGCUAGGUGACUUAGGGCAAAGAUAUGAGUCCGCUCUCGCUCUCGCUUGUUCAAAUCUAGCUCUUGCUCUUGCUCGGUUAGACCUUUCUCUUGCUUGCUCAUAACAGAUCGAAAAGAGCAGGAAG